CCAAAAAGAGUAUAGAAAAACCCUAGAAAUUGGGGAUUUUUGGGAUGAUUCCUUAAGAUAGAAAAAGGCUGAAAACACAAUAAGAACAGAAAAUAGAUUAGAUAAUGAUUCAGCACAAGUAGAAAUAAAGAAAGAAUUGACAGUAAGAAAUUAAAAGAUAAGUCCUAAGAAGCCUUGAAAUCUCGAAAGAUCUCACAACUCCCUUCAAACGGCUCUAAUCUCCCCUCCAAAGAAUAUCAAUGGCAAGAAGAAGGUUGAAGAUGGCUCCCACAAUCAAAAGAUUGUUAAAACAACUUCUAAAGAAAACUCAAGAGAGAAAUCUUGGAGAAAACUCAAAGAAAAUUCUGCUCUCAACAAAUCUGAAAUUUUAAUAAUAAUGAUCAGUGUUUAACAAGGUGGACAGCCAUGCCUUUAAAUAGGCCUUAUAACUAGUCCUAAUCUAAUUAGAAAACUAAAAUAAAAAAACUCCUAAUUAUUUUAAUAUGGAAAUUCGGUCAAAGGUCAUUUUAUCUGGGACUCUUGGACUGAAUAUUGACAUAAAAAUUUAAACUAAGUAAAUAAAUAAAUAAAUAAAAAUAAAAAUAAAACUUUACAACUUGGGCCACUUUGACAAUUUGGCCUGAUUUUCAACUAAGUAUGGAUGGAUUUCUUGAUUGGG
rnacentral:lncRNA from 1 species